AGUUGGUCUGAAGUUUGUGGGUCACUGUUAAGCUUAUUAACAUUGUCUCCCCCAAUGACCAUGACUGACUAGCUUAAA
ensembl:Y_RNA Y_RNA Y RNA